GACGAACGCUGGCGGCGUGCUUAACACAUGCAAGUCGAGCGGUAAGGCCUUUCGGGGUACACGAGCGGCGAACGGGUGAGUAACACGUGGGUGACCUGCCUUUAGCUUCGGGAUAAGCCUGGGAAACUGGGUCUAAUACCGGAUAUGACCUCAUGUCGCAUGGUGUGGGGUGGAAAGUUUUUCGGCUAGAGAUGGGCCCGCGGCCUAUCAGCUUGUUGGUGGGGUGAUGGCCUACCAAGGCGACGACGGGUAGCCGGCCUGAGAGGGCGACCGGCCACACUGGGACUGAGAUACGGCCCAGACUCCUACGGGAGGCAGCAGUGGGGAAUAUUGCGCAAUGGGCGGAAGCCUGACGCAGCGACGCCGCGUGGGGGAUGACGGCC
rnacentral:rRNA from 1 species